UUGAGAGAAAGUUAUGUUUUUGAAGUUUAGAGAAGAGAAUGAAUCAAGCAAAGGUUUUGGCUUUAGCCAAUACAACAAUAAAAAAUAAAAAAAACUGCUUGUUUACUUAUGAACAGACACCAAACAGGUGAGCCAAGGAAAACAUCAGCACUGGAUGACAAAUGUUGUGAGAUCUGUGAAGAAAACCAUAAAAACAUCAGUUAGUGACAUUACCAACAACCUCUACAGGGCAGGGGUUAAAAUAUCACAUCUAAAGGCCCUACAACACAAUGCAAAUCACUCAUCAGCAGUAAGACCCAGAAGACCAGCUUGGAACCAGCAAAGAAAUACAGCUAGACGAGCCACAUAACUUCUGAAACCAUCAUUAACUUCUACCAAAGUCAUGGACAUGCCAAAAUGUGGAGAAAGAAACGUGAUCAUGAUCCAAAACAUACAAGCUCAUCAAACUUCAAGUACGGUGGAUGUAGCCUCAUGGCUGCUUCUGGAUGUCCGUGCAUGAAAAUGUAUCCUGUUCAGAACAAAUGUGACUGAGCACGGCAUGGAACCAAGAUGCCCAAACCUGUCUCGGCAUGACAACGCCCCCGUGCACAAAGUGCGCUCCAUGAAGAGGAGACACUCCAUGGCCUCACGCUGACUGCACCCCAGACCUCCUCACUCAAUAUCACCACUAAAGCUCUUGUAGCUAAAUGAACAAUAAACAGAAAACCCCACAGCCACAAUCCAACAUCUACUGUAAAGCCUUUCAAGAAGAUUAGAGCUUAUUAUAAACAUAAAGAGGGAAUU